ACUCAUGACCUUGUGUCCUCAACUAGCGCACCGAAGAAUCUCCAAGGAGUUUCCACAAGAAGAGCUAAGGUGGCUAGAAAGUUCGCUUCUCUUAUGUGUCCGUUUCAGCAGACCCCCCCUGGAGAACUCUCCUGUGUCGGAAAAUCUCACCUGCUGGAGAGAGACCAUCCAUUCGACAUGGUCUACCUAUCUUCGAAUCAAGAGAGACGUAGGAGGGGAAGGAUGCGAGCCUCAGCAUUUGGGAACGCCAGCCCCUUCAACAUCAACGUGGAGUCUAUCUGACCUUGGAAAGACCAAAUGACAGGUUUCUUUCCCUCUCCAGAGUGAUGAAAAGGGACCAAGAAAAAAUGCAGAAAAGUAAGAAAAUGACUGACCAAAUGAUCAGGCCUGGAUGCAGAUGGAAGACCUAAAAGGAUUAAAAAAAAAAAAAAAAA